CCAGGACUCUUCCCCACUGCUGUUCUAUGCAAGUGUUUCAACUUUGAGCAUUAGCACCAUGUUGGACUCAUUCUGUCAGCACAACAAUUUCAGGUAGCAACAGGAAGGAGUUUUCUGUGCUGUGAUGAUGUUCUGAUCUGCUUAUAUGGCCUGCUCUGGAAGUCUUGAGUGUCAGUUUUUGAUGCGAUUCUUCAUGUUCUCUAUUAAUCAGAAUCACCUGUUAAAUGGACAAAUCAGUGUAACAGCUGAUGCAUUAGUUUCCAGCAUUUUCAUAGUGAUCAUAAAAGGUAGCAUUCAAAGGGAUAGAAACUGUGUGAUCUUUGUCUGUCAGUGGUCUAUUAGUGAUCAAGUUAAUGGAAUUCAGUCAAGAGAAAAAAUAAAUUGGCU